UACGAAGGGGGCUAGCGUUGUUCGGAAUUACUGGGCGUAAAGGGCGCGUAGGCGGUGUGUCAAGUCAGGCGUGAAAGCCCCGGGCUCAACCUGGGAACGGCGCUUGAGACUGGCACGCUCGAGUUCGGGAGAGGAUGGUGGAAUUCCCAGUGUAGAGGUGAAAUUCGUAGAUAUCUGGAGGAACACCGGUGGCGAAGGCGGCAUCCUGGACCAAUACUGACACUGAGGAGCGAAAGCCAGGGGAGCAAACGGG
rnacentral:rRNA from 1 species